rnacentral:rRNA from 1 species
UACGUAGGGGGCUAGCGUUGUCCGGAAUCAUUGGGCGUAAAGGGCGCGUAGGCGGCGCGAGUAGUCAACGGUGAAAGCCCGGGGCUCAACCCCGGGUCGGCCGUCGAUACUCUCGUGCUUGAGCACUGUAGAGGCAGGUGGAAUUCCGGGUGUAGCGGUGGAAUGCGUAGAGAUCCGGAAGAACACCGGUGGCGAAGGCGGCCUGCUGGGCAGUAGCUGACGCUGAGGCGCGACAGCGUGGGGAGCAAACAGG